CUCUCUUUCUCUCUCUUUCUUCCUCUGUCUCUCUCUUCCUCUCUCUCUCUCUCUUUCUCCCUCUCUACUCGGGUAUUCCAUUGCACCGAGAACGCGCACUCUCUGCGCGCGCGGCACACACACAGGACUCGUGUCGCAAUAUUAUAGGCACGCCGGAUGCGGCCGAUCGUCUCGCUAGAACGGUCGCGGACCAGGUCAAUAUAUACGCGGUCCAACGGAGCUAUGAACUAUUGACACGCAUAGCGGGGGCUUAUUAUUGGCCCGUCCGAAACGGCGCGAUACCACUCCGCAGCGGUCGAUAGUUUUCCCGGAGCGCCAGAGCGGCAGUCGGGAAUCUAACGCCGGCCCCUGUAUAAUUAUUGCGUAAUUAGCAAAUUUGAGCACCACGGCCGGAUCGAUAAUCGUAAAUUAUCGGGAUUGGUCAGCCGAGGCUGAUGCAUUGCCCACGGCGGAGCACGGCAGCGGCGCCGCGAUAUUGUUGCUCUCUCCGCCGUAUCGUUGUACGCGUACCCCGGAUACCCGUAUGCGUCUCCAUUGGUGCACUGUGUACGCGUACCUGCCUCUAUGGCCAAGCUACCAAUCGGGAUUUCGCUCGUCGUAGUAUUUAUCGGUGCGUGGCUGGACGCGAUCACAUCUCCAGCGACGAAAGGAUUCCGUGAGUAGCGUUCACCGAUCGAAGAGCUCGCGGAUUUCACGGCGGAACGUCAUCGAAAUUGGAAGAUUUAUUCAAAGUACUGUCUUUUUUCACAAGAUGCCUUCCCGCUUUUACAAUUUUUCAAAUGUCAAAAAUCCGCAUGGUUUCGCUCAAAAAUACCAUCAUCGAUGCGUGGACAAGCGGUGAAUCUCAAUUAUGAGCAUUUUCAUCGAGGCAGACCGACAAGAUUUUGAUUUUACCGAAUCGCGCAAGCGACGCGUGGCCGUGGUACAAGGGACGAUGAUUCCACACUCGGUUAAUAUCCGCGAUCGACGUGCCCGUUCCCACUUCAUCCUCCACCCCGUCGUUAACCGAACGCGUGCGUACGCGUGUGCGUCGCACGACGCCGGGACGCGGCAGCGUUGAGCCCCCCCCCCCCCGCGCGGAUAAUAAUUAUUUUCGUAAUUUCCUGGCAUUCCGCGCGACGAGCCCAUCAAUCCGAAAAUCGUAUAAACCGACUGUCACAUUCACGCCCAAACUCAAAAUACAGAGGGAUCGCGCGCGCGUCCUCGCGGCCCGUCAAAUACCAUUUAAUCCCCCGUGAAAUCCGGUUUAAUUUCGCCCGGCGCACAAUAUCCCCGGGAGUCUGCCGCCGUCGAAUUCCCGAUUCACCGCCCACGCGGUGAAUCGAAAUCUUUCGACGUCAUCUUCCGCCGGAAAAUGUUUCGCUCUCCCCCCAGCGCGGAGCGCGGAACUGGGCGCGGAGAGUGAAAUGAAACUUUGCCGAGGUUACGGAACGAGGAUCGAUACGCGGGGUCGUCGCGAAAAUGCUCCAUCUAUCCCUUCACGGCACGAUCUUAUCUUCCUACUAUGCAUUCAGCUUUUUCUUCUCAUUACAACUUAACGUUGCUCGUUGUACGCACGCCGUCUCGACUUGUUCGUAUUCACCGGCGGACAAUCUAUUGCUAAGACUUGGGAGUGACGGGAGAUCGUUCGUAUCGUUCGUAUCAAUCUGGAUAUGAUUUCGCAACCGCCGGGAGGGCGAGAAAUUCAAGCAGCGCGGCUGCAGUGCGUUCCCUCCUAAUUUCGCGACACUGCGGCUCGUUUCUCUCCGCUCAUUCCCGCGCGCGUUCACUCUGCGCCAGUUUAUACCGCUGCCGCCGUCAGUUUCUCGACCCCGUGCGUGUUUGUAUAUGCUAACGUGCUACACGCCGUAAUAUCAAGCCGCGAGAGGUGGGCGACUGCGAAGCCGGUAACCAAUGGCCGAUACUGUACGCCGCGCGUGCGAUAGGGCCUUGUCCGAUAUUGGAAAUCCACCGGCGCGAGGGUUCCCUCCGGAAACGGUCGACGUCGACGCGUCAAUCAUGCAUACGAGGACCCGAGUUCCGAAAAAGUUGCGUUUUUGCGUGACAAGCGUAUCUCCGAGCGCGCGAUACUAUUUCGCACUAUUUCCCGCUUAUUUCGAUGAUAUCAGUAAUAUCCUAAUAGAUGAUAUCAGUGAAUCAAGUAACUUUUGGAAAAGGAUAACGUCAUGAGAAUUAUUCAUGAUGAAUUCUGUUUCGAGCGUAAACGUAAAUUCGCCGCACGGAAUGAAGAUCUUUAAGGACGUUCAUCGGUUGUAAUCGUAGCCAAAAGUUUUGCUCACGUUCGGCUCUCUUUUCGCGUACAGCGUGACCCUCUGCCUACUUCAUGACUUUUAGCGUAGACUCUACACACUAAUACAAUUAAUGCAGCUCUGCGUUUUAUACGUAUACACGUAUACUACCAUGCUUUGGGAGAAGCGGAGAUCCGGCAACGCUGCUUUUUUGUUGACGCAAAUACAUACACAACAGAGAAAACCACGUGCUCAACAUCAACGUGUAUGUCAACACACACUGAGACUCUCUCUCUUCAACUCUUGUGUCGUUGCGCUACAGUGAUGCCACUUUUCCAUGGCGGCUCUCCUUCCACAUAACGACACGCUUCGAAAUACCGUCAGAUCAAGAACGUUGAAUUAUAAUUACGCAUAAAGGAUACCGCUACAUAUCUCCAUCUUGUAAUAUGUCAUUCCUAACAUCGUCAUGAAUCAUAUAUUAACUUUUUAACAAAAUACAUAAACAAUUUCUGCCGUAAGAAAUUAAAAUAUCUCUCUAGAACACGCUUCGCCUAUACCUUACGUGUUAAAAUUCGUAACUUUGACAUUGAAUAUCUCGACUUUGGUACGGGCACGGUUCUUACAACUGAGCAGGUAUAUAAAUAACACUAUUAAUAGUAUAUGGUCCAAGUUUCAAGCAAAUAUAUAGAAAAUCGAUUAGCCGAUGAACGUCCUUAAGGAGAUUCAUAUUCACGGCAAGAAAAUAAGAUUUUUCUGCGAUAAGUACUGUUUAUCCACGAAACUUACAUCUUCCUACACUCAAAAGGAGAGGGGGGGGGGCUUGCGGAGAGAGGUCACGUGAAUAUGGUAAUAGCGUGGAGAGGUAGAGCAGAGAUGUAGAUAAAAAAUCGUAAUAUUUAUACAUGUAGUACUCCGUGUGUCGCGCGCGGCGCGAUUUAAAUGUUAAAAAAUUCUCAGCGCCUUGGCCUUUGGCUUCGACGGACCGAGUGUGUAUGUGUUCUCCAUUUUGUCCGCAUAGUAAUACCCGUGGAAUUAACCAUAGAACGGAGACGCGUACAUUGUUUGUAGAAACGAGGAGUGAGGUAAUUGCGGAUAAAAGCACAAAUGCAGUUUCGAUGAUACCGAAAAUGCGGAUGCGCAUCAUCUCAUGCAAAUUGCGAACGAAACAAGUUAACUUAAGAAGCAGGUCGACUGGUCAAGAUAAAAGAGUUUGAUAAGCCUCGGAUAAAAGAUUGUACAAAUGCGUAGAGAUGACCUCUCUAGGGUACACGGUACGUUCAUACAUCAAUAUAGAAAACUGAUCUUAUUAAUAUUACGUAGCCAUCGAAAACCUCAUUGCAAAUUGCAAUCCGCGAUUAUGAAUGCGGCGUCUACUUGCCACGACGCGACAGAUUCGCGUGCAGUCGGUGGCGGCAAUCGGCUAGCUGUAAGCUAAUACGCGCAAGAGAGAGAGGACGAGGAGAGACGAUCGGUCGAGCGAGGAAAGGUGGAGAAACGACAACGUUGGAGGAAUGGAGGACGGCUUUGCGCUGUUGGCGAGAGAAGCAACCGUAGCGGCAGCAGGACGAUACCGCAUAAUCGUUAGGACCGUAUUCCGUACGCUCCUAGUGCACGAGCAGAAGGCCGCGCGCAAGAUCUCUAGUGAGCGCAGCUCGGUAACCGAGGUAGCGUACUCGUAGCGGAAUGCAGGAGGAACAUUGGCGAGCACACGAAGAGCGAAAGAGAAGGAGCAACGGAAAGGAAGGGGCCGGAGGGAGACAAGUCGCGAGAAGACCAACCAGCGAGGGAGGAAAACAGACGGGUGCGGUAGCGGCAUGCAGCGCGCGGUACGUUACACCUGCAGGAGAGCGCAACCGCCGCUAUAUUGCAUCGUGUGGGCGCGGUGGUGUCAUCUCUCGGCGAUCUCCGGAGUGACCUGCCCUCCCCCGUCCCCCUCCGGUUACUCCACCAACCCUGUUGCCCUUCCCCCUUGCAUUGGCCACGAACGAGUUCCGUGCUCCCCCUCUUGGGAGGACACGUCUCUAACCUAAACCUAAACCAGCCUAACCCUACCUCAUCCUACCUCACUAUACCCUCGCCUUCUCCUCCGUCGUGCGCGCGCGACAACGCUAUCGUGGCCCCCAACUUCCCUCACCCGAUCCGAGCUCCCACCACCACGACCGCCGCUUCGACGAGUGUCCACUUUGCCUCAUCGGGGGUGGGGAUUAACUGAGAGAAGGGAGACACAUCGUUCCACGUGAGAGGAGGUGGAGGGCGAGGACAGAGAUACUGCUCCACAACGCUGUCUUGCUUUCCUGCCUCUUCGUUCACGGUCACACCCGCAGUGGAGCUCAACCUCAAGAAGAAGUGUUUUCAGCUUGAGAUUACUUGGGGUCGGAAUUUCUCGCCAAGAUUUGCCCUGGGAAGAGGAAGCGUGAUUGACCUCGAUAACAGAAACGUCGUACAAUCGUUCACACCAACGUACGAUAAGAUCUGUAUAAACCAGUUAUAUGGAUAUGAUCUUCAAAUGGCCUAACAAGUCCACUUAAUUUGUUUAGAAAUGUUAACAAAAAUGUUGAAGAAAUACUUAUAAAUCUCUGUUUUGAAAAGUGUUUCAAAAUCUUUGCCAUUCUUCGUUAAUGCAGCACUCUAAUACGUAGUACAAAUAUUUCGUUCGUCAAGACUUGCAUGACUUUUAAGCAAUUGUCAUGUUUUCGCAUGUACUUAUCAAUAAAGUAAUUUUAAAUAUUACUGACGUACUACAUGCUGUAUUACUGCUCCUAUAUUACUGCUUAUUGAAAAGUGCAUUUUAAAUAGUAGAAAAAAGAAUGAUGCGCCAGACACGUCACAACAAUGUGACAUGUUGGAAAAAUAUAAUACUUUUGCCGAAACAAUUGCGAUAUUAUUAUCGAAAGAGAAACGUGUAUUAAUCCAGCGCAACUAACAUAAUAUAACGCCUCGCGCUUGCAUCAUUUCGAGGCAGCUGCAGUACGCUGCAGGUUGAGAGUCGUCGAGGGUACAGUAUCAGGCCGGCUCCACCUAGCAUAGGGUGAACGGGUCGGAGGCCGUUGGUUCCUCAUAGAGUUGCUCUCUUCUUAUUAUUGUUACACGAACACGCGCGCACACGGGUGCGCUCGCUCGCGGGCACGCAUGCACGCACGCACGCGGCAGACGCAUGCGCGAGCCAUAUUCCGGAACGGAGGGGUCCGGAAACUGGGUUCGAGUGGGGAUACCGAGAAGCAACAAGAGGGGCGGAAGUGUUCUGUCGUGGGGCACGCGCGGUGGGGAGGAAAACAGGUUGAAUCGUGCGCGCGGCAUCAUGCUGACCGAAUCCAUGGUGGGGGAGGCAAUAGUGAUUCAGCUCAAGGGGGGUCAGGAGAAAAUCACGACGCGAGGGAACAACGCUUGCGAGGGUGGGAGAGUCGUACGAGUGGCGGGAGCGAUCGGCGCGCGAGGGAUGGGGACCAGAGGUUGCCGCACUUACUCUCUCGCCUUGCCACGGAUUACCAUUAUCAUUAUUCCUACUCUUGGUCGCGGGCGCCACUGACAGCUUUAUGUCAGAGCCAUCCUUAUGUUCGGCACGUUAUGCGCGCGUUUCUCGGUUAAUUGGAAUGUUUCUUUAAUUUUUCAUUUAACGUAUUAUUCCGUUUUUUUUCGAGCUGGCGCGAUGCGCGAUGCGAAAAAAAAUAAUAUUAAUAAGAUAUGUAUGCUAAGAUAAGAUUUGAAAGAUACACGUAUACUUGCAAACAGUAAUGGCAACAGUAACAAAAGAAUGACAGCAUAGUUAACAGGGGAAGACGAAAAGAGAGGAGUGGAGGAAAGCACAUAUAAGUACAUAUAAUACACGGAAAGUUCGUGCCGAGAUUCCUUUAGCGAAAGUCAAAUUCACAACUUUGUAUUAAAAAUUAAUACAAGUUUUGUUAGAAGCAUCGGCGCGAGUUUCCCGGUCAACCCAACACACACACACACACACGCGCGCGCGCGCACACACACACACGCGCACGCACGCACGCACGCACGCACACACACACACACACACCUACCCAACGUGCAUUAUUAUCUUGUUAAACUUAGAUAUCAAAAUAGGAAAACUCUUUCUCUUGCAUGCGAUUAUCCGUGGUAGUUUUCCUUUGCCGUCGUGUUAUUUGUUUUUCAAACAUUAUCGCGUAUAGUUUUGCCAUAGUAACUGCUUGCGUGGGUAAUCCGUUGAAACUCCAUCGCCUUCACCGACAGAUACUUGUAGUAUAUUACUCAUAGAGAUAACAGAGGGGGGGGGGAGAGAGAGAGAGAGAGAGAGAGAGAGAGAGAGAGAGAGAGAGAGAGAGAGAAUGUCCUAUAAUCUCUAACCUAGUCUCAUUCAAUAUUUGAAUCGAUAUAUCAAUAAAGGAGAACAAUGCCUUGCAAAGCUGCGAUCUUUACUAUUUAAUCAUACGCUAUAGAGUCCACUUUAGAAAGUCUACUUUAGAGAAUCCGAGAUCGAAUUUUUAUCCACAAUGUUUAAUUCCGGAAUAAUGUAUAAUUCUUCGUGAAUUGUUUAGAGCCUGACUAUAUAAAUGCAAGGACGUUGAGUGCGUCAAGAGUCGUAUUUAGUCGAUAUGUGCCUCACGGUUAAAUAAAAGGUUGUUAAAGUUACACGCGAUUUUCGCGCUCGGCAACGUCGUCGCGAUGGGAUUCGUGGCGGCAUCGUGAGGACAAAACGCGGUAAGGAACGUAUUUAUCGACUGGUCCUCAAUGAUCGGGUCCGUGCUAUUACACGGUGGACGAGUAUGCAUUCGAGAAACUUGACGCUCGCGCGGUUAGGAAGCGAAAGAACGUAGUUUCGCACCCCUUCAAGUCAGAGAUGAGAAGGCCAUGUUUGUUAAAUAUUCGGGAUCGGUCAUAUAGAAUGGACGAAGUGCAAGGCGCAAUUAUCAUCCAUUCCAAGCAAGAGAGGCACUCUCAGCUACUAUCUCUUUCUUUCGUCGGGUUAUUCCUUUCCUCUCACGCCAUUCCCCGUGAGUUCCUCACCUUCCAGUUUCUCUUCAACCUUCAAAGUCCACGACCUUGGCGCUUCGACCGGUCGCUGUGAUUUUGCCGUUGAUUCCGAGGAUGAUACUCGUGAACCGAUCACGACGAGUGCGAGUAAUCGCAUCUCUACACGAAACGUAUCGCCUUGUGAGAUUACCACGUUUCCGAAAAAGAGACGAUUGCACUAGGUCUACAACAUAUUCUCAUAUGCUUAUGGCUGAUAUGGUAGAGGAAUACCAUUAUCUAUUAGGUGCACAAAUUAAUUUGGUGCUUUCUUGUUUUUUAAGGAAUUGAGCCUUUAUUACAAAGAAAUAAUAAACAUGUCAAUCUUCGCAAUAUCUGGCAUCAGUUUCUAAUACUUUCUCCAUCUGUCGGGCAGCUGGAAAAUCUCCUCUCGAAAAAAGAAGAAAAAACAAAUUUGUUAAAAAGAAAGCACCGAACUAAUUUGCACAACUAAUAUAUGUCAAUAUAACAAAAGCUAAUAUCUUUUUCGACUGCAACACACCUUAAAAUUAAUCAAGGUUCUUCAAGACAACAUGUACACUAUCUUAACAACACCGUAAGCAACACCGUGAUCUUUGAACGUGAUCGCUGUGUCAGUCUCGACAGCGAGAGAUCGUGACGAUGCGCGCAUAGCAGCAGGAUGGACCAUUUCUUUCGCGAUCAGCGACAGCGGUUGCGAAAUAAAAUCGUCUCCGUGCACGUACGUGCAUGAUCGAGAGAAGCCACCACACCCACUCGGUCUCAGUGCUCGGGCCAGAUCGUGCCUUUUACCUGUCAUCCGUGAGUAAUAAUCUUGUAAAGCCGCGCACACCCUGCGGACGGGUUAUGGAACCAGAGAGGAGGACGCGUCCUAACGUGGAAGAGAGGACGAGAUGAAGGAGAGAAGGAGAAGCGAGAAGAAAGGAUCAACAACCUGUGACGCGCCAUACUCUGCAGCAUCUCUACCAGCUAAGACCAAUGAGCCACAUUGACAACAGCGAAUCUAUCCGCAUCCUCGUCGCCACUGACAAUUGACUAGGAAAUGUUCAACAAUUUUUUCCCCCCUGUACCUCCAUGACCCUCGAAUGCGUAGCAUAGAAUAGUUAGAAACCGGCAGAUGGUUACGAGAGGGAGAGAGAAGGAGAGAAAGUGUGAUGUAAUUUAAUUUUACUUGUUUUUAUUUCAAAAACUGCUGUACAAUUGCUGUUGAAAAACACGUGUCGCAAAGCAGUAACGUAUUUGGGAUCAGAUCACCAUUGACAAUUUAAAUUAUUCGUAUACUUGGACAAAAGUCAUAGGAACAUAAUUCAAACAGAAAUGACUACGUAGCAACAAUACUAUGGCUAUAUACAAAAAUAUUAAUGUCAGAGCUUAUGACCCGCUCUAUGUAGGUUUAUAUACCCAUUAUAUUGCAAAGGCAAGAAUUGGUGAAAUAAUUCAAAGGACGAAUACACGAAUAUAUUCGAGUCCUGAUUAUGGGACAUUUAAAAAUACAUUGGACAAAUUUUACGUUUCGAGAGCUAUUGGGCACAUGUGAGAAAAUGAAAUUGGUUGCAGAACUUCAAAUCUGCCAAAACACGAAGGGUCGGUCGUAGGUAUACGUGCCAAAAUUUCCACAGUUUACGACUCUUCUUUUGAAGAGAUUCACAGAAAGGUACCUGCUAGACAAAUUUUGUUUCGAAUACUGGUAACGGUAUUUGCACCGGAGAAUAUCAUUCCGUACUCAGAAUCCAACCUUAUCGUUAAGUUUCUACGUCAUCUACAAUAUUUUGUUUGUGAAAAUCACGCCGCGGAAGAACUGCUACACCAUUUCUCUGCGAGAGCGUAGUACGGAGUACUUGCACCGUACGCGCAUAUCCUUGGGUAGGAACCCAACUCGCCAUACCUAACGGUCGCGUAGAACUUCAGCCAUUAUCGCGGCGAUUGCCGAGUACCUGCCAGUGUUAACUCGCGGCCACGCAGAUAUCCGCAGAGCGACGGGACGCACGAGAGGAUCGGCAAGGUUAAUGCCACCGAGAGGAUAGAAAGGAGUGCUCGAAUCCUAGUUAUCGGCCACACCCGAUAAGACGCGGGAAUACCAAGGCAGAAGAUGGUAUUUAUCGGGACUCUAUCGCUCCGAUCGUUCACGGAACUCUUUGUCCUCGUAACACGACCAAGUAGUCGUCUUCUAUGCUACACAUGGAAAGGAAAUACAAGACACAAGAAUGCGAAAGUAAGGAAUGGAACUGAAGAUCGAUUGCACGCGAAUACACGCAGAGAAAUCUCGAAUAAAUGGAUGAGUAGGUUUCGCUCCAUUUCCGCGGCCGUUCGUCUAACUAACGGUAAAUAAUUAUUAACACACGUUCCAAUUCUUUAGCUAUUUGUUUUUUAUGUGAAAGGUACGAAAACUUGGAAACACCGAUUUCCGCGACGAAGUACAAUCGCCACGGAACGUUGCCACGUGCAACGUAUUUAUCAUCGAGAGCAAGGUUCAAAGUUCGAUGCUUUCCCACCGAUGCUAUCGUUCCCGAAAUAGAGAGCGACGCACUAUAUGGCGCAACAGCACUCGUUAUUCCUCGUUCCUCUUUCGCACUCCUUCAUAGUAACCGUUCUUGCACGGGCGGUUAAACUACGGUAUUAUUCAGUCGAGUUAAUAUUAGAACGGCGAUAGUCACCGCGAAAGUUAGUCCAAAGAACUUUAAAGAAAUCGCGACGAUGUAACUCUCGAUCCAAACGCACCCACGGAAAAAAGCGCUCGUGUUGGGAGCAUUAACAGUUUGGGAGUAACAGUUUGAUGCAAAGGAGAGACGGGAAUGCGCCGUUCGUGACUAUCGUUCGAUCGCUAUCGCGUGCGUUGUUGUGUAUCUCGCGGAAAGCCAAUUAUAUAUUUCAAGAAAAUACCAAUUAUAUUUCAGAAAUGACGGAUAGAAAGGCGCGGCCAAAGACUCUACAUACUUUCUCCGAAUAUUCACGGAUAUUGAGUUCUAUCUUAGACAUAAAGAUGAUUACUAAACUACUUCAGCGUAUUAAUAGCAUGGUGUUACACGUUACUUCUCACGUAACAUUAAUCUCUUUAUGUAUUCCUGUUUUCACGAGUUUCGCGAUUUUGCGGAACGUGAUCGAGGUCUUCACCGUGUAUAUCGCCACUGAAUGCCGAUUAAUGCACCGAAACAACAACGGUGACAACUCAUUCGAUGUGUACACGGCGGGAUGAGCGCCCCUGCUCAUGAAGGGUGCAUAACUCUGGCACGGUAUUACAUGGCGUGUCCGUAUGGGUCGGUAUACUAAGACUUGUCUCUAUAGAACUGGCACAGCUGUUUCGUAUCUUUCUCCUGGUCGGUCGGCCCGCCGACUCUCAUCCCUUGCGUCGCGUCGGUCUCUCCCCUUCCGUUCCAUCUUGGGCGCAACGCGCGCGCCAUCGACCCUUCCCGCGCAUAGCAAAUCCUGCGUGCCCCUUUCAAGCAGGAAGAACGUCAGGGAUACGAUUCGAACCCGUAGCUUGGUACCGUAUCGGACGCUAAAAGCAUUCGUGGCGAGCCUCCGCAUUUUUGUAUCUAUCAACGGCGAUUAACAUUGCAUGAUUUCGUUUUUUCUUUGAUUUUUAUAUCUGCAUCUUAUACAAAAAUUAGUCCAAGUAAAAGAGAUACGAUCUAUAUGCUCACACACAUACAUAUGCAUACAUCUUAAAAAUAUUGUAUAAUGUGAUAUUCCUCCUUCCGUAGCCUUCAACUUCGGGCUUUAUAUAACUUUGAUCGCAACCUGGUGAGCGACAUGAAUAAAACAUAUUUGAUAUUUUAAUGCGUGAAUUGCAUAACAGGUUUGGCAGGAACUUUCGGCACCUCCUCCUGACCCAGUUUUUUCAUUGAUCGCACUUGAAAUCUUCUCCAUCGAGAGCUUACGUUCAUUAUACACAUCCCAUCUUUCAUUUUUCUUUAUCAAUGUCUUCCUAAUAGCUCUAUUUGUCAUUUUAAGAGAAAGCGUAACAAGUCUUAAGGAAAUUCUUGAGAUUCUUGUGCAUUGUCUUGGAACACGUGGAACACACGUUCAAAGAAAUUCGCUUUUCCUCUUGCUUCGCUUUCGACAGUACGUCAUUUGUCUUCGUAGACAAAUAUGCGAGAAACAAUUUUGAGAAACAUGUCGAAAGCACGAAUUCGUUCUGCCGGCACCAGUACUCUCGAUAAGCUCCGAGUCCUUGGUCGGCAAGUGCGAACGCAGCCGUAGCUCUUUUGCAGGCUCUUGAAACAGAAGAAUCCCUUUUUUGGGAUAAUAGUAGUUUCGCGUUACGCGCGGUACGCGUAGCCGUACAUCGGGAUGCGCGAACUCGCUUGCGAUAGGAUACAGUGUUACCUGCUCAACGUGUAAUUCACUUAAUAAUGUUCCGUUCUCUCUCUGUCUUUCUGUCUCUCUUUUCCUCUAUCUCCCUCCGCGUCGCUCUCUUUCCCUCUCUCCGAUCGCAUCGUGGAUUUCCCUCCUCGCGAACACUUGGUGCGAGAGUUAAUUACCUGUUACACACUCCGCAGAGUAGAAAAUGUCAGUUUCUAAUCUCCUACGUCUACGUAUAUUGAGCUCGAUACCUUGGCGAUUUUUCCCAAGAGCAUGCCGUUACACGGCAAAGCCGCGUUCUUCAUUUUGACACAAGUACAACAAGAUUUGUAAUUCAACGUGUAAAAUUUAACGCAGAAUUCAAUUUCUUUCACAAUUCCUUUAUGAAAAUAAUUAACAACUUUAUGCUAAUCCCGAUUAAUUACGUAAUCCUAUACUGUGAAACGGAAACGCAAGUAGAAAAGUUGAUAUACCAAUCGCGAGCGAGUGACCGAUGAAAACCGUCUUCGCGGAUGCGUCCGUAACGUUCCUUAUCCUACAUGAGGUUACACCGGGUGUUUGAACGUCGCAUUGACCAGACGUGCAAUCCGUCGUCGUCGUCGUCAUCAUCACCGCCGUGACGAUUUGAGCACCGCUGUACGCAGGAAACGUUCGUAGUGCGAUUAAUACCAAGAGGCGUAUACUACCCGGAUCGCGCACGUCGGCUGUCAGCUGUCGUCGAAGAGGGUCCAGAGCACCAACGGGCGAGCAAGCGGUGCGACCUUGCCGACCAGUUGUCUUCGCUCCGCUCGGCUAAUUAAUGUCGCAACGCCGCACGCGCGGUACGUACGCGUCACGAUGAAGACGAUGAAGACGACGAUGACGAUGAUGGUGGCGACAAAGCAAUUCAGCAGGAAAAAUGAUAAGCCCGUGAUCGUGAUGUCGCCGUUGCAUCGACACGUUCGACACGUUCAUCGUGUCGUCAAAUCAGUCGGCAUUACCAAGACGGAGCGAGCUCGAGGAUGCUCCUCGCUUUGGACGCACCAAAGCAAACCUUUGACUUCGAGACAUAACACGCACAAUUAAACUAAAGAGUUUUGCCCGCGAUCGGUCCCGUGUAAUUCAAUCAAUAUAAUUUAAAAUAAUUUGGGUUAAUUGUUGCUCGCGCGCAACGCCCAGUAUGUCCAAUCUAAUUGCAUUAAUAACGAUAACAGUUAAGCGAGAAAAGCCAGAACAAGAUCAUUAAUAGAUAAUAGUUGGAUAGAAAUUCUAAAUCAAUGGCUCGUGCGAAAGGACGAAUCAAAUCAAGUCGUCCUUUCAUCAAUAGAAUCGUGAACAAUUAAAGGGAUGAAAUCACGUGUCAUCUCGCGUCCCAUCUGUCGCGGUCCUGAAACAACGAGGAAGGUAAUAACAAUUUUCUUUCGCGCUUCCUCAAAUCUUAAUCGUACAAAUAAACGUUUGUGGCACCUUUUACUCGAAUACUAGAAUGAUUUUACUAGAAUGAUUGACACCAUCGCGAUGCAGCGAUACGUCCAGAGCCCGCGUAAGAACGCGGAAUCACGAUGCACCGCACGCGCGCUUGCCGCGCGAUCGCGAGGGGUAACAAGUGGGGAACUGAUUGAACGCAGCCGCACGGCAAGCGUUCCCUCUCGAUUAAAGCAACCUGGAAAACUCGUUUGCCCGAACUGUGUCACUGUCACGGUAAUUGGCGAAAAAGUCGAGUUUCUUCGCUACGAGAGGUCGUACCGGCGCAUACGCGCGCGUGCGCGCUCCCUCCGUCACCCCUCCUUGCGCCGGUCGCAAAAAACCGUCGGACCUUUAUUUAAUUCAAUGCCUCUCGUUAUCACCGGGCCGAGAGUAUCUGCAUUCAUUAUGUGCCGCUCGUGCACGCGGCCGCGAGAACCUGUUGUCCGACAGUUCCUGAUACCUGUCUGUUCUCGAGAGAACUGACGGACUUAACUGUGCAAUGCUCGACGUAGGACGGUACAGUUUGUUCCGCGUUCCCGCGGGUUCAACAGUAAUCUCCCCGCAAAAUUCUUCGAAAUAUGAUGAUGUUCUAAACAACAGCAGAUUUACUAAACUUUGUAAAAUAAAUAUCAAAUAAAUAUCAGAUUCACGAUUGUUUUUCACCAUUUCACCGGAUAAAGAGGCGAAAUAAAGAGGCAAACGAGUUACCUUCCAAGUUACAAAUUGUAACGUACAAUUCGACGUUGGAAUACUCGUUCCCGGCCAAUAGAGUCUGAUCGACUCUCGCAUUUCGGUUUCUGUUCGAGACUCAAAUUCGCAUCGCGAGGUUUCGCGCGCUAGUUACGAUAGUCAAAAGUGCAUUCUAUGCGGCACGAGCACAUGCGGAGGCUCUAGGAGCAGCUCGGCUCGCCAUCGCCGGGGCCGGGCGCAAUCUAUUAUUACGGACCACUGUGAGUUUAAUGCGCCUCGCUUAUCUGCGUUCACCGUCGGGUGCGUACUAUCUCUCGUGUACCCAGCGACUGGAAUCACCCCGAGGCGGGUUCUGUGCACGAGUCCAAGUAAAGCAAAGUGUUUCUCUCUCAGGUUAGCGCACCUACUCCGACGCGCUCGCUCGGGUAUCGCUCGUCGCGAACAGCGGAAUGCGGUUGACGUCGACCAGCUCGCUGGAACGUGUAUAAAUGUAUACGUAUGUUGUGUGUGCUGCAUGAAUAUCUGUAAGUACGCUUCAUUUUAUGAACCAUCCGACCAUUUUACGAAACGCCGUUCCACGGAAAAGCGAUGCUUUACAGAAAAAUCAAGUCGAAGAACGAGUAAAAUUUGCGGAGACAUGUGCCAAGAUCGAUCCUUCGCUAAAUUUCAACGUCCCUGCGUACACUGGGAUGAUUUUGUGGUCCAUGGACAAAAAGGCGAAAAGAUGGAAACGAGAGUGAACGGGAGAAGGUACGUUUAAGGGCGUUUACGAUGAAGACAAAAACUACAGAAAUGCUAAACGGAGGAGGAGAAAUAUCGAUGGAUACCUAAUUUGAGCUCGUCUUGGAUUGCGUUUUCAUCAAUCGACCCUGAAUUAAACGAAAGGACUGUACUUUGUUGUAAGAAGAAAGGAACAGGAAGGAUCGGAUGAAAAAGAAAUAGAGAGAGAGAGAGAGAGAAAACAAUAUGAAUCUUUAAUGAGGCGAUGGAUGAUAGCGACAUGAAAUUUGAAAUUGUGCUCAGUUACCCUCAUUACUUGCUUUUCUCACUUUGCGGUAAACGUUCGCAAAAUACAGAUCAUCUGACAGAUUUUUUCAUUACUCUAUCAUUGACACUAUUCCGACAUAAAAUUUCGCUUUUCAAUAAUGUUAUUUUAAACCAGUCUGUAGUUGACUUUAAUGAAUUUCGCGAUUAGAGAAGAUAGGAAUUAACUUCACCUUUCUGACCAAGUGUCGCAUUGUGCGAGAAAGCCAGGCACACAGUUCGAUCCCCGCUGAUAACGACCAGGGGCUAAAGUAAUCUCUUCGUAACGUCGCUCACGAUUUCUCGGAGAAAUUGACGCUCGUAUCCCACCACAUUUGGAUAACCGACACUUUCACCUUAUUUAGAAAAAUAGUUCGCUAGACAGUCACGAUGGGUCACACGGUCACGAUGAGAAUGAUACAUGCUUCACCAUCAGAAACAACACAUCCGAACUUUGUUUGUUUUACACUUUAGGUACACCUCUCAGCAAAACUAUCGUCGACACGGAUUCGACGACCGAUUAUAGUGACUUAUGUAUUUGGUGUGGCACUGUCUCUGCCAAAUUUCUAGACAUCCCUAGCAACAUUCUGGAUUUUUUAUGUCUAUUGAGUCGUUUCCUGUAACGAGUGUUUCCCAUUACAAAUCAACGGAUGCCCAAAGUUCAUCUGCUGAAUGAACAAUACAAAAGUGGAAAUAACAGGCUUGAACAAGUUUCGGUACAACAUAUAGACAUCCUAAAGUUAUAGUUUCGAAAUUUAAAGUUCCAAGUCUAUACCUAACCUAAAAGGCCUUGAAACUUUAAACAUAAUGUGAUAACAUGCAAAUAAUUGAUCGAUUUAAGAACUAUUGGAUUGACUGAAAAAUCCGUGCGACGUUUUUAGCAACAUUGAGACGCAAAACUUUGUAUUAAGAAUUAUUAGGCGUAUGCAAAAGGUUUAAUCUUUUUUUUCAGCGCUCUGGUAUUAUUAUCCAAACUUGAAAUUCUCGAUUUUUUACGUUUUUAAAGAGAGAGUUUUUGGCAUCGAAAUUUCUAAAACGUCAUAUGUCAUGAUUGAAUGAUAAAUAUAACGUUCGACAAUAAUAGUGAACGCGAUGAACAAUGAAAAGCUACACAUACUUUACGUAUUUAGCAAACCAUUUUGGACCUGGGCAGCGAUCACGUAACUUUUUCUCUAGGAAAAUGAAAAGUUUCACGUAUUUUCGCAAGUAUUCAAUAUAUACAAUAUUGCAUAGUUUUUUAAGAAAACGAUGAGGAAGACACUCCCCUUAGUGAUUAUACUUCCCACGAACCGAGAUACGUAAUCGUGAAUACUGAAAAAGUUCACACGAAAUAGAUAAAGUGGAAAAUAAAAAGUAAACAGUUUCACUCGCAAUUACAUAAUCGAUCCCCUGGGCUGGAAAGUUUUUCCGCACGCGGCGUGUCACCCAACUUGGCGCCUUCGGAUUACCAAUUAUCCCAAUCGAAGCAGUACUAUUAACUAGAUAGUACUUUCGAGAUGUGGCGAAACACCUUUUUUCACAAAGAAAUUUAUCUGAGAGAUGGCAGAAAAUCGUAAAAAAAACGAGGCCAAAUUUGUUGAUAACUGCAUUGUAUUGUAUAUAAUGUAUAUGCAGCUAAAAAGCGAAAAAGUACAAAAAAUGGCUAAAGUUUUUGCAUACACCUAAUAAUUAAUAUUAUAAUAUGUUCAUAAUAAAGUAAAAUAUAUCAAUUCUUUAAUACAAGUGAUGCCAUAAAUUCGCUACGGAUUAGGGAGACACGCUAUUCUUACAAGUCUUCUAUUUACGUUAGAAGACAAUGACCAAAAGAAUCAGAGCUCAAUCUCGAAAUUCCAGAAAGUUUUACCAAUACGACGAGUGUCAGGAAGUGUAGAUGCAGGUAGUUCAUAGGUUUUAAAUGCAAGGGAUACAUGGCAGGGGCGGAACAAAGAGAGAAAGCUUGCGGAACGUGAAGCAGCAUAGGGAGAAGGGGAAGAGGCCCGGCUUGCCGGCUUCGAGUCUGCACUGUCGUCCUGCAAUAACCGUUCGCUCUUUGUCCGCUCAGCUGCCUCUUGCUUGCCAGUGGUUGUCAACCGAACUUGUCGCGGAUCAUCUCUCGUAAAGGUCCAUUUAGUUCCAUAUUGUGUAAAAGUCCACUUAUCCCUUCUUACUGCUUCUACUAGUUAUACUUGUUAUCCCGAUAUAAUGGACUACAAACGGAUCACGUUAAAAUUUUCAAGUUUUUGAAAGUUGGUUAUCGAACCACGCAUUCUUUUACGACUGUCGCUUCUUUUUUGUGUAGAACUACAUAGUUCCAUGUACGAGGAAAAUCUCUGAUACUCUUAUUUAAUGUAUGCAUUAUUUCCUAUAUAUUAUCUAACUAGUAAUCUCCGUUUUUAUAUGUUUUUGUAUGUUUACGUGUUAUUUAAUCGCGCAGUGUAAUCAGUUUUUAUAUCCUGCCUCUCUUUCUCGUAAUUGCAAUGUUGUAUAAAUGUUUUCUAUUUGCUCGCUAAAGCGAGAAACACGAGUCGGUAAAUCUAAUUUUCUACAUUCAUGUUGCUAUUAGCUAUGCAUAGUUUUAUACGAAUCAUACUUAAAAUCAAUAUUCAUAAAAUAUUAAAAUAAUUAACAUCUCGCGAACGCGGAAACAAAAAUUUGCUGACACAACAUAUUUUAUGCUGUCAUAAUAAAUUUUGUCGUUUACUGUGUGGAACGCCAAGAAACUCGUUCAUCAAGAAUAUUAAUAAAUAAACAAUUAAUUAAAACUAAGAAAUUUAAUUAAUUGAAAAAUACUUUGCCAAAUUAUCAAAUCAUUGGAUUGUAACAAAAGCAUUGUAGCACUUUUUUAGUGUAAUUCCAAGACAAAUAUUAUUACACAUGUAUAUAAAUAAUUACCUAAAUGCAUCAGCAGUGACAGUCUCGUUCGUUACUUAUAUUACGUUGGCGAUCAGAAUUCAAAAGUAUAUUGAGAUCUCUUAGUAUAACUCACCUGAAACAGAAAAAUAAAACAGAGAUAUAAAUAACAUGUUUGUUGCCUCCUUCCCCUCAUUAGAGACGUAAGCGUGACUUAAUAGUAUAAUUAGUACUACUUGAAAUUUGACGGCAACGCACGUUUGCGUCUUUACGCGAUAUAGAAAUAGACUAGACAAGAAAAUAUUGAAACUGACAUCAUAAUAUUCAGAAGGUAGAAAAUGAAUCGUAAAAGCAAUAGGAGAAAAAAGGUGUGUGUGUGUGUGUGUAAAAUCCGUAGAUGUAUGGGGCGGUCAGUAUCGAGCGACCUACCCCGCUAUAGCAUCCCUUCGCACUCCUCGUGUCAUGGGUCUUCUUCUUCCCCUCUCUGGUCCUCACUUCGUUCCCUUUCCACCACGCGACAACCCACGAUCACCAAUAUCCUUCACUACAAUCUCCCACUUACGUGACGUAAGUAGCGUGAAUUUGUUUUGAUAGCUACACGUUUACAGUACAAGUCACACAGUAUCUCAUUCCUAUUCCCGAUGUAUAACAUCAUGCGCGAUGGAUUAUAUAACAGGCGACAAACUACACUUGAUAAGUAUUUCGGUACUAUACUCGUUAUCGAUGAUUAAUCCAUAAUCUGAUAUAUUGUUUAGCUGCAACAUGCUUAGGAUCAAUAGCACACGCGGUUACGCUACCAUGAAUUUCAUCGUGUGUUCCAACCUUGUUUAAUAUCCAAGAUAGACGAGCUUUCAGCAGUUUUGCAGAGACACGUUUAAUUAUAUAAUAUUAUACAUAUAACGCUCAUUUAAUGGUGAAUGAUGCUUCUUACUUUAGCAUAAUUACAACAUAUUCAUGGAAGAUAAUUACAUGUAAUAAUAUUAAGCCGAUUUUCUAAUAGAUUUCAAAGCCGUAAGACGACGGUUACAUAAUGACUUUUUUUUAUUAACAAGCUAUUCUCCCGUGAGUUAAACGAAUGAGCAAGCAACAAACGCAUAUGACAGGCGGCAUGAAAUAUAUGUGUCACUCGUAUGAAAUAUAUGUGCCUCGUCUAUCAAACGUUUCUAAUGGCUAAGAUUAUUUCGUUCUCGUGCUGCUUCCGUCUCAAUAUGACACGAAUGAACGUGCGAUGAGUACGAUUUAGCAGCGUUCGUACAACGACUGCUAAAGUAGGAUGCCCGCGAGCGGUUUGUUUAACGAUUUAUAACAUGUACACGAUACAGUGCGAAUUACGUAACACGAUAAAAUCACAAAGAUACACGGGAGGAUGUGCUAUCGCGUUACUCGUUUCAAUAUUUCUGUAGCUCGCGCUUGACACAGGCUUUUAAACAAAAUUUCUGUAGUCUUUAUCCAAAUGGAUAAAACGGAUAAUACGAUUCGCCAUUUCACAUCAAAGCGAAAUCAACAAGGCGUGCACUAACAUGUAUAUUGCAGGAUCUUGGUGAAUUCGACUGUUUUAUGAAAAAUAUCUGGCAAUUUAUAUGUAGAUUAAACAUUUCAUCAAUGAAAGAAUUGACAGUUUACGAUUGAGAGUGAUAAUCUCAGUUGUCCCAAUUCUAAAUGGCCACUUUGCGAUCUCACGCACUGCCACAACAAAAAUAUACAAAUGUUUGAUGUACGUAUAUGUAUCAUUGGUGCUUUCUCUUCAGUUUGUUGCUACAGCAGAGAGAGAGAGAGAGAGAGAGAGAGAGAGAGAGAGAGAGAGAGAGAGAGAGAGAGAGCGUGUGUGUGUGUGAGUGUCAACACAACCUUCCUAACCAACCCUCUUCCUAGCACAGUGGCAACACAGCCCCGACCCUCUACUCUAUCCUAAAGUUACAUCACACUGUAACUAUAGGCGCGCUGCUAUCAUUGAAUCAAUAAAUACCUGCCUGGUUGUGUUGGGGACACUUGGCGGGUCAAGCUCGGCUCUCCGGGCUCUCGAGAGUGCCUAACGAUACGAUAACCGCUUAACCCUUUAACCGCCAUUGCAUCGGAAAAGUGUCUAGCGAUGCGCGCUCUGAGGCCUUUUACGAGUUGUUGAUUAAAUGACGCUUGAGAGCCAGCGUCGUUUGACAAACUGCAAAAUGGUUAAUACGACACGUCAAUAUCGGACUUUAAAAGCAGAAGCCGAUAAAAAAAGAAGAAAUCAAUUUUUAUUUUUCUCAAAAUGUAUUUUUUCGCAAUUGUCUAGCGUAACAGGAGUUCGAGUUACCUUGCGGACAAAUUAUCUUGAGCAUUCGGCGUAUUACCACACUGUGAUAUGAUGUCGAGUGGUCGCGCAUAAAUUGAAACUGCCAAGCUUUUAUGUCACCCAGCAAUAUGUGCCAGAUGCAUUAGGCGCGUUCGCGUAAUCGAUAGACGGGUUUCGUAAUUGCGCAAGGAACGUUUUACAUAACGAAUCAGAUUUUUAUCGUCUCGUAAUGCGUCGCGACGUAUAUCCCGGUGUUUAUUCAACUUACUUCUUUUUCAUUCUCUUUUUCCUUUUGUUUGUUGCAAUUACAUAUUCAAUUGCCGUGAACAUUAAAAUCUAUAUCGUAAAGCCGUAUAUUCACGCGAAUAAUUUACACUGAUCUUUAUUAAUUGGACAUUUUAUUUAAUAAUGUAUAAGAUAUCUUUCUUGAUGACGAAAUGUGGAUAUAUAUCUGCUUCCAAUAUUUGCUAGUGAGCAAACAACGAUUUGAGGAUCACUGCCAAACCAGCACCCUCAGUACGGUGAACCCUCGCUUUCUUUCUUCUAUCAUCCCCUCGUACGCUGCCUUAUCCAGCGGCAGGAUACUACGAAAUCAAGCUGCGGCAUUUGCUACCAUGUGAAUCGUGUACGAAGCUGUCCAACCCUACCUGGGCAUAAAACACUGCCACAGACACCAUAUGGUUAUGAGCGUGGCUUUUGUAUGGUGGUUUAACCUCGUUUUGCCAACUUUAAGACCGCCUAUCGCAGGAAACGACGUCGCGAGCAGGCACGUAAAAAUCGAGGACUGGGUCAAUGAUCAUUUUCGUUGUUGCUGUGACAUACGCGAUUUAUCGAACAGUAGACUCAAUUCGGCGCGUAUCAUAAUUGAAAAAUUAUCGUUAUGUUGCAUAAUCACAUCAUAUUAUAUAAUAUAACGCAUAUCCAACAAAUAAUUCUUGGAAAUACGUCUUAAAAUGUAUCGCAAACGGCCAAAGUAUCCUUUAGGAGUACUGCAUAAGAGAAACGCCAAAAAGCGCAGAUAAGAUCGCGAGAGAGACGGUUCUUAGUCAAUGACUUAUGUCUUAUUCUGCAUUUUUCUCACGGAUUUCCAGAGACAAUCGAGCAGACUUGGGCAAUCAGUGAAUGGAUCAUGCAAGAUGUCGAGUAACGAAGUUGACGAAAUCGUUCAUAUAGCAGAGAAACAGCAAUGUAAGAAAAGUGACGGCACUUAAUGAAAUAAUUUCAUCGAUCUCGAUUCUACGCACGCUGGACAGAUGAUUCGCGAGUGAACCGAAGGUAGAAUUGCGAGUUUAUAAUCAAGUAUGGACAACUACUCGGACACACGAAAUUAGUUCAGAGAAGGAGAUCAUAUGGAAAUUCUCUGAUAGUCUCAUUAACGCAAAACAACGUAACAUGUAAAUCGAGUAAAUCUUACGUCUAAUAACAUCCGCCAUUCCUGAAACGGCCAUUGACUUAAAAAACGACGAAUUGCCAUAUAUAACGUCACAUCGAUGAAUCAGACAUGUGAUAAUGGGUAGCAUUAUAUGUUGCAGUCAAGUUAAUGCUUAGUUAAUGAGAGUUUUUGACAAGUUGAACUUUGACACCAAAGUCAAACCGAAGAAUUACAAUUUCCUAAUCAAAUGCCAACAGACGUUUACUUUAUCGUGGUAUUAUCCUCAUUAUUAUAUUAAUUGAUUUUUUUGGUGUGUGUACUAGCUCCUCUGUUAUCCUACACAACAGAGCGCGGAACAAACAGAUCCAAAUACCAUUACACUUACAAUUUCGAGGAUUAAUCAAGAAAAGUAAAUGUAUUCAUUAUUUUAUCUACAGCUUGUUCGAAAAUCACCAGGAACAUGAUUCAACUCAUCUUCCGCCUGCAUUACCGUAAGAUGCAGUUGAAAACCGCUGCAGAACACUCAGCUGGAGCUCUGACACGAGGUACUUCGCCGAGAAGAAAAGAGACGACGAGACGGCAACAGCGCGGCGCUCGACGGACGGGUGGCACCGCUUCCACGCGCGCGCACGCGAGCGAGGAAAAACAAGGAUAAAAGAGAAAGAAAAGGAGCAAGAGAGAAGGAAAUGCGUUGAGUGAGAGAGAGAGAGGCACAUGUACGCAACGUGCGUAUAUUCGUGUAUUCGUGUAUUCGAGACGAGGGAGAAGGGGAGGGAGGAAAAGAGAGAGAGAGAGAGAGAGAGAGAGAGAGAGAGAGAGAGAGAGAGAGAGAGAGAGAGAGAGCCCAUAUGUUCUCACGCAACAGAGAGAAACGGAGAAAUGCACAGGAGAGUGCAUUGCGUGAAAUGUACCGCGCACGUACGCAUCCGCACGCACCCACACACGCGCACGCGUAUCCUCAGUGAAUCUCUCUUCUGCAACCUCCCCUCCUUCGCACGUUCCACAUCUCCACGCGCGAUUUUGUAGCAAUUGGUAAACCAUCCGACGACACGUACGAGUCGCAUCUGGCUCGGAUGCGUUUACGCGACUUCUAUACGCGUCUAGUCGUCGCGAGAGAAUUCGGCGCCAGGAAGCCGAGUAGAAUGACGAUGCACGCACGAGGGACAUUUUUCGAAAUGUAUAUAUCUUUCACGAUAUUAUUUGGUUAUUGCAUAGUUAUUUAAAGAUGUAUCUUUACAAUUAUACGCUUAAAUAUUAAUAUUUGAAUAAAGCCAGUGCACGUAGGCGCACCUUUUGCACGGAUCUUUGUUAUACCGCUCGUCCACAAAGAGCGGAGAAAGUUUCUCGUGCGAGUCACGCAAAAGCGCGGGGGAAUCGCUGAAGACGACGGAUGUGCAACGCACGUUGCACAACAUCCGUUUUUACCAAAGUCGUCGAUUAUUUAAAAAAAGGAAGGAAACUGCGGGCACCGUGAUUAUAUUACGACGAAACCGAAGGGUUAUUCAUUAAACUAUCAACCAUUUUCGUGCCAAAGUAAUAAGAGUUGUAAUUUUACGCCGAGUAACCUGGUUUGAUUCCACUUGACAAAAGGAGGGUGUGUAUGCAUAUAUGCGAAUAAAUAUAACUAAAGAUCGCAACGAAUUAUCAUAUGUACUUUUACGCAUUGCCCGAUCCCGAUUUUUUCUCUUCUUGUGGCAAAAAUGGAAAAACAGUUGUCACUGAUGAAUGAUCGUGACCUGAUUAUUUAGAAACAGGAGACAGGUGCCAGAUUCUUAAAAUCCAGAUAUACAUGAAAUAUGCAUGUCAUGUUAUCUUAAAACUGUAAUGAGUCGUUGGGGAGUGAGUUAUCAGUUUUUCUUUCGGACAAGAUUAGUAUAUGUACAAAUUGAUUGUUCUAUAACGGAAGUGUCACGAACCGAUAUUAAUACCUGAAUUAUUUUCUAAAGUGUUAGUCAUGUAAGAGUAGAGCGAAACAGGGAGUCUCUUAUUUAUCAUUCAAACGAUAGUUUUGUAAUCCGUGGUGCAUGACUGUUUCUCGAUCUGCAUGCGAAAUUAUUAAUAUUGUCGAUAAAUGCUCAGCGUAAACGUGAGCAUGAUUCGCGCAUGGAUCGACGAUCAUUUUCACCUCGUAUGUACGAUCGUCUAACUCGACCAGCGAUACGUUUAAAAUUUCAUGACGGUUAAUAAACUUUACGCAGACACACAUAUGUUAAUAUUACCGAAUCGUUUCAUCGCACUUUGUAAUUAUGUAUGUGAAUUUGGAAACAACAAAUUGAUGAAUGCGAUGAUCCUACUGUCUGUAAUGAUUCGGUAAGUAAAUUGCUUUAAUUUGUGUCCAAUUUCAUUUAAGGAAAAAACUUUGUUAAUUGAUAAUUAAAUUUGAAAUCUCCUUUCCUUCCUUUAGGUUUCCUUGUGUUUUCAGAAUAACGUUACGAAAUAGCAAUUAUUAUAAUUGCCUAAUCAACUUACGAAACAUUUCGCACAAACUGCAUCGAAGUCGUGCAUAAAUUCAGUCUCAAAAGAGAUUACAUGUGUAUGUGAGGAGAUUCUUUUUUCUAUCCCAUCUUUUUCCACAAGUGUUGCACAUAAGAUCCGUGACUGCGAUGGAAGAGAGAAGAUGAGAGAGAGAGAGAGAGAGAGAGAGAGAGAGAGAGAGAGAUUCAAGAUCUAGACAAUUGCAUUAUUAUUCCGAUGGUAUCCCGUACAAUAUAAUAGCGAUACUCUUUCUACCACUUUUCGAUUCCAUCAGGAGAAUCCAACUCGAGCCCGAAGUAACAAAGGACUCACGCUGGGCCAUUCGAAUUUUAGGCUGCAUUAUCUACACACGUGAAUUCUAUUUUUUCCCUUCGCGCGUUGUUAUGUCGAGAAAUCCCAACCAAUGGCUUCUAAACUGCGGGUUGAAACCGUACGGUCAACGGCCAUUUUCCCCCAAACUAGAUCGCAUUAGAACACGUGUAAAAGUGCCCUAUAUACAUCUUGUGCGUUUCCUCAUUUAAUAUUCAUUGAAGGCGAUUUUUCUUUGAUGUAUGUAUGCGUCGACUACCACGACUAGUCCUCGAAAUCCGAGAUACUCUUCAGCUCGAUAAAAUUCUAAUCGAGUCUCGAGCUCCUAGAACCGUUUCAGCAUCGAAGCUUUGUUUCAGGUUCGUCAUCGAACCUAAAUAUCUAAAGAAAUAUCUGCAGCAGGCGGCAUGUUAGCUCAAAUGCAAUUUUUGCUUGCCGCCGGUUUUACACUGGGAAAAAAAAAAAAAAAAAAAAUUGUUCAACGAAAAAAAAAAUUAUUUGACUUAACAAAAUGCUGCGGUCGGAUACGUUCAAAUAAAUGUCAAUGUAAUAAGAACUAAAUAUUUUGUUUAAUGGUUACGAUAUUUUUAAAUUUGGUCCAACCAAAUUUAGUUAUUGCAGACAAAAUAUUUAUUUAAUUCUACAGUAUAUUUAAUUGAAGAGAAAUUGUUGUUUUGAUGUUUUGAUGACUCAUAAAAUAGCAUUAAUUGAGAUAACAAAAAGAUGUGUGUGUCAAACAAAAAAUAAUGAAAGAACAACAAAAUCUAUGUUUAAAAUAAGGAUGUAGUUUUUUCGUUCGACUUCAUUAUAGUUGAAACCUAUAUAAAUCAAUAUUACCGCGAACGUUAUAUUUUUUCAUUUAACCAAGGAUAUAGUCAGAGUGACAAAACGUAGAGUAGGACGAACUUUAUGUUUAUUUAACACAACACAAUAUCCUUUUAAUGAAGUGAAAUAUUUUGUUUAUUUUGUAAUAAAUUAAAUUGAAUG